CAGUAGCCGCGGUAAUACGUAGGGUGCAUGCGUUAAUCGGAAUUACUGGGCGUAAAGCGUGCGCAGGCGGUUCGUUAAGACAGAUGUGGAAUCCCCGGGCUUAACCUGGGAACUGCAUUUGUGACUGGCGGGCUAGAGUAUGGCAGAGGGGGGUAGAAUUCCACGUGUAGCAGUGAAAUGCGUAGAGAUGUGGAGGAAUACCGAUGGCGAAGGCAGCCCCCUGGGCCAAUACUGACGCUCAUGCACGAAGCGUGGGGAGCAAACAGGAUUAGAUACCCCCGUAGUCCCUGUCUCUUAUACA
rnacentral:rRNA from 1 species